rnacentral:rRNA from 1 species
AAUCAACGCUGGCGGCGUGCCUAACACAUGCAAGUCGAACGCGAAAGGGGCUUCGGCCCCGAGUAGAGUGGCGUCCGGGUGAGUAACGCGUGGGUAAUCUACCCUCGGGUGGGAAUAACCAGUCGAAAGAUUGGCUAAUACCGCAUAAUGCAGCGGCUCGACAUCGAGACAGUUGUUAAAGCAGCAGUGCGCCUGAGGAGGAGCCUGCGUCUGAUUAGCNGUUGCGGGUAACGCCACCAAGGCUACGAUCAGUAGCUGGUCUGAGA